rnacentral:misc_RNA from 1 species
CCAAUUCCUUUGUUGAUUGCCUUUCUGUAAACAAAAAAAUAUUCUAAUUCAUUGCUUUGCCAAUCAAUACAUAAAAAGAAAAAGGAGGAAAGGGGGGGAGGAGGAGAGGGAUGAGAGAGAACACUCAUUGCUACUUGUCUAUUUUGCAAACAUCAGCAACAAGAACCUCAAUAUGCAGCUCUGACAUAUAAAGACCAUAAUGCUCAAAACAAAUCUUCUCUGUUAUGAAUACUAAUAAGGAGAUUAAGGGGCUGUAAUUAUAUGGUGAAGAGAGUAGAAUAAGAAGAUGUAGUUGAGAUGAGCUAAUAGCUGAAAUACAUGAUGGAAGUUAACAUUUGGUAUCCCAAAAUUUAGGGGAUUAAUUGGCCAACAGAAGAUGCUAUGUGGAAUUCUUACAUUCUUUCAGUUGAUGAGAAGGAAGCACCUGAAAUUUAUUUCAAUUUUCAGCAUUUUCUUCAUUCUUUAGG